CCCGCGCCCCUUCCCACUUCCCGCGGGGCCGGCGCCGCGCUCGCCCUCGCGUUCCUUCCCGCCGCCCCCUCCCCCGCACCAUGAGCAACCUGAAGCCGGACGGCGAGCACGGCGGCAGCACCGGCACCGGCUCCGGCGCGGGCUCCGGCGGCGCCCUGGAGGAGGAGGUGGGUCUGUGGCCCCGGGACUUGCCGGGUGAAGCGCACGCCAGGCGGGCGCGGGAGAGGGCGAGCGGGGCCCGCCGCUGCCCUCUCGCCCGGGUAGGAGCGGCCCGUGUCCGCGGGCGGGAGCGUGCGGCCUGGACUGCCCCGCCGGACAGGCAUUGUCUCCCCGCCCUCUCGGGCUCGAGGCGGGCCGCGCGCGCCGGCCGCCGUCCGGGCGUCCCGCGGUGGGCGAGAUGCGCCGCGUCCGUUCCAUGCCUGCCGCCCGCGCGCCCCUUGCUCCCCACCCCGUAGCCGCUCGCCGCCCUCCUCCGAGGCGCACCUCCUGCGUGGCCAGGACCCCGCCUCGGCGGCACGGAGCGGAGCGGGAUUAGCACGGCCCGAGGGCGGCACCCUCACUCCACUGCCUUUUCCGCCCUGACCCCCUCCCCGUGACCUUGGAGGCCUGGGCCGGCCGGCUCCUCGGUUCCUGCGAGCUGUUGUCAUGGGGGUGGGCGGGCUUUCUUCACAGCCCCAGAACCUGGGCUUUGGCAGAGGUGAGCCCACAAUUUAAUUAGUUUGGAAGAUGACUAAAGACACUCAGUUCGUCCUUCUCCUCUCUCUGGGUUUGUCCUGGCAACCAAGCCAGGACCCCAAAGCUGGCCUGGGUGGGAUCCUGCCAGGAGGGGCGAAAUCAUCUCGUCCACCGGCCAUGUGCGAAAGGGAGGGAGUGUAAGGCGGCUCCGUGGAACCACCAGCAGCUGGGUGGUUAAUGGAUGGUAGGGAGGAUGUGUGUGCGGGGUGGGGUGCUGGAUAAAAGCCUCAAAGAUAUCAGUGAAUAGGGACGAGGAGCUAGGCUGGCGGGUCUACUUCAGUGGGGACUUCACACUGCCCAAGAGGCUGGUACUGGGCAAACCCUCAGACCCACUGCUGUUGGGUGAGAAGGGUGACCCAUGUGGCCAUUCUAAGUCUUGAAAAAAGCAUUUGAGGUUUGGGGGUGGAAAAGGCAUUCCAAGAGGAGGGAGUCGCAUGUAUACAGACGUGAGCCACCGUGCCCGGCCUGUGCAUAGGUUAUAUACAAAUUUUAUAUAAGAGACUUGAACAUCUGGAGAUGUUGAUAUCCAAGGGGGAACCCUGGAACCAAUCC
rnacentral:lncRNA from 1 species